GGUUCCUCCUGUUUCACGACAAGAGGCUAAGAGGGAAGAACGUGUGAAUCGUUCGCAGUACCCGCUGCUGUAACUCCGUCGUUUCCUAACCCACUGAAAGCCACUGCAUUCUUGAUUUGCGGGAAGGCGGGUUAGGGAGGAGAAGCCAGAAGACCUGCCAUUUUC
rnacentral:ncRNA from 1 species